rnacentral:RNase_P_RNA from 1 species
GAGGCUGGCGAUCGCUCCUGUCUGGGAAGGCAGGGGAGGAAAGUCCGAACACCUCAGGGCGCUCCGCCCCGGGAAACCGGGGGCGGUCCGGGUCAAACCCGGGCCGACGGAAAGUGUCACAGAAAACAAACCGGCUGCUCCGGUGGCCAAGGGUGAAAAGGUGGGGUAAGAGCCCACCGCCCGUUGAGUGAUCAACGGGGCAAGAUAAACCCCGGAGGGUGCAAGGCCAAAUUGGAAGGAUGGGCUGCCCGUCCACCCGCUCACGCGGGACCUUCCAGGUAGGCCGCCCAGAGAAAUGAUCGCCCGACCCGGCGGCGCCAACCGCCGGGCACGACAGAAUUCGGCUUACCGCCUCAAAC